UACGUAGGGAGCAAGCGUUGUCCGUAAUCAUUGGGCGUAAAGCGCGCGUAGGUGGCCUCAUAAGUCCGCUGUGAAAGUCAAAGGCUCAACCUUUGAAAGCCGGUGGAUACUGUGAGGCUAGAGUACGGAAGAGGCGAGUGGAAUUCCUGGUGUAGCGGUGGAAUGCGCAGAUAUCAGGAGGAACACCAGUAGCGAAGGCAGCUCGCUGGGACGUUACUGACACUGAGGCGCGAAAGCGUGGGGAGCGAACAGG
rnacentral:rRNA from 1 species